rnacentral:rRNA from 1 species
ACGGGUGAGUAACACGUGGGUAACCUGCCUGUAAGACUGGGAUAACUCCGGGAAACCGGAGCUAAUACCGGAUAGUUCCUUGAACCGCAUGGUUCAAGGAUGAAAGACGGUUUCGGCUGUCACUUACAGAUGGACCCGCGGCGCAUUAGCUAGUUGGUGGGGUAAUGGCUCACCAAGGCGACGAUGCGUAGCCGACCUGAGAGGGUGAUCGGCCACACUGGGACUGAGACACGGCCCAGACUCCUACGGGAGGCAGCAGUAGGGAAUCUUCCGCAAUGGACGAAAGUCUGACGGAGCAACGCCGCGUGAGUGAUGAAGGUUUUCGGAUCGUAAAGCUCUGUUGUUAGGGAAGAACAAGUGCGAGAGUAACUGCUCGCACCUUGACGGUACCUAACCAGAAAGCCACGGCUAACUACGUGCCAGCAGCCGCGGUAAUACGUAGGUGGCAAGCGUUGUCCGGAAUUAUUGGGCGUAAAGGGCUCGCAGGCGGUUUCUUAAGUCUGAUGUGAAAGCCCCCGGCUCAACCGGGGAGGGUCAUUGGAAACUGGGAAACUUGAGUGCAGAAGAGGAGAGUGGAAUUCCACGUGUAGCGGUGAAAUGCGUAGAGAUGUGGAGGAACACCAGUGGCGAAGGCGACUCUCUGGUCUGUAACUGACGCUGAGGAGCGAAAGCGUGGGGAGCGAACAGGAUUAGAUACCCUGGUAGUCCACGCCGUAAACGAUGAGUGCUAAGUGUUAGGGGGUUUCCGCCCCUUAGUGCUGCAGCUAACGCAUUAAGCACUCCGCCUGGGGAGUACGGUCGCAAGACUGAAACUCAAAGGAAUUGACGGGGGCCCGCACAAGCGGUGGAGCAUGUGGUUUAAUUCGAAGCAACGCGAAGAACCUUACCAGGUCUUGACAUCCUCUGACAACCCUAGAGAUAGGGCUUUCCCUUCGGGGACAGAGUGACAGGUGGUGCAUGGUUGUCGUCAGCUCGUGUCGUGAGAUGUUGGGUUAAGUCCCGCAACGAGCGCAACCCUUGAUCUUAGUUGCCAGCAUUCAGUUGGGCACUCUAAGGUGACUGCCGGUGACAAACCGGAGGAAGGUGGGGAUGACGUCAAAUCAUCAUGCCCCUUAUGACCUGGGCUACACACGUGCUACAAUGGACAGAACAAAGGGCUGCAA